rnacentral:rRNA from 1 species
CAUGCAGUCGAGCGCACCCUUCGGGGCGAGCGGCGGACGGGUUAGUAACGCGUGGGAACAUACCCUUUUCUAUGGAAUAGCCUUUGGAAACGAAGAGUAAUACCAUAUACGCCCUUCGGGGGAAAGAUUUAUCGGAGAAGGAUUGGCCCGCGUAAGAUUAGAUAGUUGGUGGGGUAAUGGCCUACCAAGUCUACGAUCUUUAGCUGGUUUUAGAGGAUGAUCAGCAACACUGGGACUGAGACACGGCCCAGACUCCUACGGGAGGCAGCAGUGGGGAAUCUUAGACAAUGGGCGCAAGCCUGAUCUAGCCAUGCCGCGUGUGUGAUGAAGGCCUUAGGGUUGUAAAACACUUUCAGUGGGGAAGAUAAUGACGGUACCCACAGAAGAAGCUCCGGCUAACUCCGUGCCAGCAGCCGCGGUAAUACGGAGGGAGCUAGCGUUGUUCGGAAUUACUGGGCGUAAAGCGCACGUAGGCGGAUUUGUUAGUCAGAGGUGAAAUCCCGGGGCUCAACCUCGGAACUGCCUUUGAUACUGCAAGUCUAGAGACCGAGAGAGGUGAGUGGAAUUUCCAGUGUAGAGGUGAAAUUCGUAGAUAUUGGAAAGAACACCAGUGGCGAAGGCGGCUCACU